GAUGAACGCUGGCGGCGUGCCUAAUACAUGCAAGUCGAGCGAACAGACGAGGAGCUUGCUCCUCUGACGUUAGCGGCGGACGGGUGAGUAACACGUGGAUAACCUACCUAUAAGACUGGGAUAACUUCGGGAAACCGGAGCUAAUACCGGAUAAUAUCUUUAACCGCAUGGUUCAAUAGUGAAAGACGGUUUUGCUUUCACUUAUAGAUGGAUCCGCGCCGCAUUAGCUAGUUGGUAAGGUAACGGCUUACCAAGGCAACGAUGCGUAGCCGACCUGAGAGGGUGAUCGGCCAAACGGGAACUGAGACACGGUCCAGACUCCUACGGAAGGAAGCAGUAGGGAAUCUUCCGCAAAGGGCGAAAGCCUGACGGAGAAACGCCGCGUGAGUGAUGAAGGUCUUCGGAUCGUAAAACUCUGUUAUAAGGGAAGAACAAAUGUGUAAGUAACUAUGCACGUCUUGACGGUACCUAAUCAGAAAGCCACGACUAACUACGUG
rnacentral:rRNA from 1 species